rnacentral:rRNA from 1 species
UCAGUUCAGAUUGCAGGCUGCAACUCGCCUGCAUGAAGUCGGAAUUGCUAGUAAUCGUAGGUCAGCAUACUACGGUGAAUACGUUCCCGGGCCUUGUACACACCGCCCGUCAAACCAUGAGAGUUGGCAACACCCGAAGUCGGUAGUCUAACCGCAAGGAGGACGCCGCCGAAGGUGGGGUUGAUGAUUAGGGUUAAGUCGUAACAAGGUAGC